rnacentral:ncRNA from 2 species
CUCUUAUCCAGAGCGGUGGAGGGAACGGCCCUGCGAAGCCCGGCAACCGGCCCCGAUAUGGGGGUAACGGUGCCAACGCCGGCUCUUGCUAAAGGCGGGGGCACGAUAAGAG